UACGUAGGGUGCAAGCGUUGUCCGGACUUAUUGGGCGUAAAGAGCUCGUAGGCGGUCAGUCGCGUCUGCUGUGAAAACUCGGGGCUUAACCCCGGGCCUGCAGUGGGUACGGGCUGACUAGAGUGCGGUAGGGGAGACUGGAAUUCCUGGUGUAGCGGUGAAAUGCGCAGAUAUCAGGAGGAACACCGGUGGCGAAGGCGGGUCUCUGGGCCGUAACUGACGCUGAGGAGCGAAAGCGUGGGGAGCGAACAGG
rnacentral:rRNA from 1 species